UACGAAGGGGGCUAGCGUUGCUCGGAAUUACUGGGCGUAAAGGGCGCGUAGGCGGAUGUUUAAGUCGGGGGUGAAAGCCCGGGGCUCAACCCUGGAAUUGCCUUUGAUACUGGCUAUCUUGAGUUCGGGAGAGGUGAGUGGAACUCCGAGUGUAGAGGUGAAAUUCGUAGAUAUUCGGAAGAACACCAGUGGCGAAGGCGACUCACUGGCCCGAUACUGACGCUGAGGCGCGAAAGCGUGGGGAGCAAACAGG
rnacentral:rRNA from 1 species